UACAUGGAACCAAGUCAUCAACAGCCAUCAGAUACUAUCAUUGAACGAUUGUGUUGGACCAGAUGGUUCAAUGGAGACAGUGCCACUGGAGCAGGUGACUGGGAGACUUUGAAGUCCUUGAGAGAAAAGUAUCCAGGACAAAUUUGUCACAAACCUAUGAAAAUUCAGGCUGUUACAGCUCAAGAUGAAAUCCCAGCUGAAAAGACAAAUCAGAUUUUCUUUGCCUACAACACCAAAACAGGCUUCAUUUGCCGCAAUC